AUCGUAGUCAUCUUGAAGUCUCGGAUCUACCAGCUUCUCCAGAUUUCCACUCUCGAGAAGAGGUCGUCCCUGAAAGAGACAAGACGCCAAACUUAUUCGAAUACGUGAUUUCGACAGUGAUGAGCUCCAGAAGAACAACGCCGAACGAGUACACGUCCGUCUUCUCGUUGAGCUUUCCAAACAUGAAGUACUCGGGCGCUAGAUAUCUGUAAACGGAAGUGAGGAUUUUCAACGAGGUAGAGGAAUAAAUGAGGUUAUGUGAGGAGUUGUUGUCGGUGCCCAUUUUGCAAGUCCAAAGUCCGAGAUCUGCGAACACGUUAGUUUUUUUUCUCUUCAGGC